GAGAUGCUCCUGGCCGCGCAGCUCACCGCCAUGUGUUUGGGCGCCUUGCUGGCCCUCUGCGUGGUGGCCUGCUGCGCCUACAAAAUAUGCGGGCCCGCCGAGGAGCUGGAGUGGGGCUCGCAGUACUCGGUACUCAAGAAAUCCCCGCGCCCUCCUCCUGAACUACUUCGGGAACUGUGAGGUCGGCCACGCCCCGCGCCUCCCGCCCCGUCCUCCUCCUUCCUGCUCCCGUCCCCGUCCCCCACCACCACCACCCUCGCCACCACCUCCUUCACCACCCCUGCCUCUACCACCUCCUCUCCUCCAGCUUCCUCUCCUUCGUGGGUCCUGCACGCGGGGCCCACCUCUCCGGAGUGACAGCGGGGCGUGGCAGGGGCGAGGCGGAGAGCGCGGACACCGCCACUCGCCUCCUGUGGCGGAGUGGCAGGCGUGGCCCGUUUCCUUUGACUGAUUAUGACUUUUACUACUACUGCUGUGGCUUCUCUACUGCUAAUGCCUACUACUACUACUACUACUGCUACUACUAUACCAUUUUCACUUUUCUACUCCUACCAUUACUAUUACUACUAUCCAUUACAAUUAAUACUACAACAACGGAUGUCCCACAAGAGAACCCAGAAGAGAAUACGAGUGGAAGAAGCUGCGGCAAAUACCUGCCAAGAUCAAAUUCUACAGCAUGUAUUGAACCUUCAGGUGCUUUAUUUUUUUGGAGGUUCGAGCUGCAUGAACUGAAUGAACCCUGGUGCUUUGAAUCUUUUUGGAACUGAGUGAGACGCUACAGGCUGUGGUGAAGUGUGGGUCGUCGCUCCUGAUGCCAGUCAACGAACACCAAACCCUCGAAAAAGUUCUUGCACUUAAACCCCAAACGAUUCAGACUCCAUUGCGGCAUCAGGAAGUCACGGGUGAGUGAGUGUGUGCGUGUGUCUGUCUGUCUGUGUUCGGAGCAGGACUGGAAGGCUCGAAACGCUGUAUAAAUGAACCACUUGAACGGGAGACGGGAGUGACGUGACUGAAUAAACGAAGAAGAAAAAAAUGGGGAUAGGAUAAAAGCGCAUGGAUUAUAUAAACAGAAGUAGACAGUGAAACAUGAAUGAAAGAAAAUAUAACCAUGGAGUAAAAAAAAAAUAGACAAGAGAAAUGAAAGAGAAAUUGAAAAUGAUGAAGGCAGCGGUAGAGGAAAUAAAGGCAAUAGGAAAAAAAAAACAGCUGAGACUCAAAAUGAAGCAAAAUUAACAAUGAAAUGAAAGAAGGGCCAAGAAAGAUUAGAAGAAGGAAAUGUGAAGAAAAAUAUGGAACCGAGAGGAGAAUGAAGGAAGAUAAGGGAAGAAAAAUAGAAAAGCACACAAAAAUAAGAAGACAGGAGGAGGAGGAGGUGGAGGAGGAAAAGAGGAGGAGGAGGACAGGGAGGCGGAGAUGAGAGGACGGCAGCGGAAUGAGCACUUGUGAGGAACGCUUGGAAAUGGUCUGAGGUGGAGAAAAAUUCAUAAUGGAAUCGUCGAGCCUGGCAUCGCUAAAAAUAGAAAGGAAAAUCAUAUAUAAACCUGUUCAUGAGAGAGAGAGAGAGAGAGAGAGAGAGAGAGAGAGAGAGAGAGAGAGAGAGAGAGAGAGAGAGAGAGAGAGAGAGAGAGAGAGAGAGAGAGAGAGAGAGAGUCACACUAGCCAGCCGUCAAACCAAACUCGAAACUUUCCAAGAAAUCUGCUUCACCUACCGCCCCCCUACCAGAAACUUUGCCCCUCAACUCGCUCUUUCCCCUUAAAAAAAAAAAAGAUAAAUAAAAAAAAGAAAAUAAGGGAAUGAAGCUUCGAAACAAAGGGAAAACUAAACAAAACGGACAAGAGGGAAACUUGACUUGUAUCCCUCCUUUUCCUCACGGCCUCCCUCAAAAAAAAAAAAAAAGUAGAGAAGGAACUUUCAAACGGAAGACAAACUCAAACAAAAGUGAAAGAAAGGAAGGAAGUAAAUAAUAAAAGACCUAACCUUCCUUUACUUCGGCCGGCUAUUUCUCUCUCGGGGCGGCCUAAAAAGCCUGACGGGUGGAGGGAGUGAGAGGAGGAGGAGGAGGAGGAGGGGGAACGGGAAGAGAGGGGAGGGAAAAGAGGAAAAAGGGAAUACACUAUAACCAACAGCACUUUUCUGUUACAUACAAUAUUCCCCCGGCCAGUGAGACAGAGGGGAAGAGGGAACGGUGAAAGAGGAAGAGAGAGAAGAGAGGAAGAGGAAACGAAGGGGCAGGGGGGAAAAAGGAGAGGGUUAGGGAAGGGGAGGGAUAAGCGCCACUGGCCACUCCCUGCCUCAACUUUAAGCGAUAGGGGAAGGGAAGCCGGGGAAGGGGAGGGUAGGGGUGCAGGAAAGGUGGGUGGAGGGAGGAAGGAGGAGAGGAUGGAGGGGAGAGGGGGUGUCGUGCCCGGCUGGUAAUGCUGUAGCUCAGGUGUUUGUUGGAGGAACAGAACCCACAACAAACACUCCCAUCAUGCUCUCUCUCUCUCUCUCUCUCUCUCUCUCUCUCUCUCUCUCUGGAAACAGAAACUCUCAGCACUGUACGUGAAUAACUUUUUACUUUUAGCUUUUUUUUACUGCAUAUUUUUUCCCCAGUUCCCUUUCCUUCUAUUUUUACUCCUCCUCCUCCUCCUCCUCCUCCUCCUCCUCCUCCUCCUCCUCCUCCUCCUCCUCCUCCUCCUCCUCCUCCUCCUCCACCUCCCUCCGAGCUGAUCCGCUUCACCUGCGAUGUGACUCGACAGGGACAAAAAAACAAACAAACAAACAAACAAACAAAGAGAAAGAGAAAGAGAGAAAAAAAGAAAUGAAAGGUACCUGUCUCCUCCAGUUUCUUCCUUUCACGUUACUUAUUCAUUCUCGUUUUGCUUCAUCUUUUUUUUUUUAUACCUCCUGAAACUGGCGAGAGAAAACGUCCACUUUCUCCCUCUCCCUCUCUCUCGCGGUGUUUGCUCCAGGCGGCUUAAUCCUGCUUCAUCCACCACGCAGGACAAAAACUCGCCAAAUAAAUAGAGCAACAUCGCGGAGGAGCAAGGGAAAGGAAGUGAGUCAAGGCGAGGAGACAGACGGCAGCCCACUGGUGGCACGAGACGCUGUAAAAAGGUUUCACUCGGCCGCCAAGAAAAGUCUAAUAACUGUUGAAGAAAAGAGAAGGGAGAGGGGAGAGGGAGACAGGAGGUGUAGGAAAGGAAGGAACAAGGGAGCAGAGAUACCUAGGACCAUUAGAAGGGAAAAUAUGAAAAGAAAUGCACAUAAUUAAGAGUCCCGCGCAAGGAAGGCGUGAGAAACGGAGAGUGGAGUAGAUACAUAUAGGAGAGGGGGAAAAAAAGGAAAAAAAGACACAUGAAAAUACUAUGAAGUGAAUUAUGAGAAAGAAAAGACAGAAUAACGUAAGAAGUCUACAACGAAAGAAAAAGGAAGAAAAGGGAAUGAGAAAGAGAGGAGAGAGGAGAUACAGGAUAUGGAGGAAGAACAGAAGAAAGACACCAAGAAAAAUCAUGAAACAUUAUGAGGUGAAUUAAAGGAAAGGAAAGAGAAAAAAAAAGAAAAAAGAAUGCAAGCUACAAAGUCCACCAGCUUGUGAAGUGCUCGCUGGAAGGGAGAGAGAGAGAGAGAAAGAGAAAGAGAGAAAAAAAAAAACAGAAAAAAAGACAACCUGCAGAAAAAAGGACAAAUGGGAAUACUGAAAAGUGAAUUAGAAGAAAGGGAAAGGAGAAAGAUAAAAGAUAACAAAAAACAAGAUGAAAAGACACAGAAGAAUACUUAAUGAUCAAUUUGAAGAAAGGAAAGGGAGAGAAAAGAUAAAAGAAACGAAAAAAAGCAAACAAACUGAAAAAAAAGAGACAUGGGAAUACUUAAAGGUGAAUUCAGAAGAAAAAAAUAAAUAAAAUGACCAAACGUCCCACCUUGUGAAUUGCUCUCCAGCGUGGGAGCAGCGGCGCCGCCUUGAGGGACGCGAGGCAACCGAACACCGUCGCCUGGACACGCCUCCCUUCCCUCCUGACGCUAAAAAGCCGUGUAGGGCUGCGGAAACCUGGCUAGAGGCUGGCCACUUACUUGGAUAUCUGGCUGUUCUUUGACCGGUUAACUGGCUGUCCAACUGUUUGCUUGGCUGGCUGGCUGUUACGCUGUCUGGCUGGCUAAUGACUUGUCUGUCUCACAAAUUACAAGACAGAGAGGCAACGGUAGAAGGAACAGGACCAACAGCACCACCACCACCACCACCACUACCCACGAGACGAGACAAAGAAGAGGAAGAUUCAAGAGUUGGAGCAUGUCACCUUUCCCUUGAGACGUGGGUGGCGGCUGGGUGUCCGCCCGCCGCGAGAUGGACACGUUGAGAUAUUGGCGAGCUCGAGGAGGGAUGAGUGAGCGUGUUGGAGUGUGUGGCAGCUGGCUGGCCGACCCCCGCCUUUGAAGAGGACCUCGCUGAACACGUCCCCGAGCCAGAACAGACCUACAGGGCGCUGGUGUGUGUGUGUGUGUGUGUGUGUGUGUGUGUGUGUGUGUGUGUGUGUGUGUGUGUGUGUGUGUGUGUGUGUGUGUGUGUGUACCCUGUUGCUGGAUUAAGAGAACUGCAGAGGGUAUAAUUUGGUGCUAGACAAGGCUGGAAGAAUGGGAAUGAGUGCAUGAAGGAAGAGGAGGAGGAGGAGGAGGAGGAGGAGGAGGAGGAGGAGGCGAGUAGUUAUGGAGAUAUUAAGGUUCUUCCGAGUAAUGUGACAGGGAGGAUGUGAAGACAGAUUUUGCUCAUAAAUACAAAUUGUCUUUCUGCUUAUGAGAAAGGGAAGGGGAAGGAGGAGGAGGAGGAAGGAACGGGGGCAAGAGGGAUGGACGGAUGGAAAGAGAGAGCGAAGAGAGAGAAAAGAGGAAUGAAGGAAAUGAAGGGAUAAGAGUGAUAAUAAUGAUGAUGAUAACGAUGAUGAUGAUGACGAUGAAAAGGAGAAGGAUGGCGGUGAGGAGAGGAGAAAUAAAUGAAUGUCAUACGUAAAAGACACUAAAAUCAUCACCAUCAUUAUCAUCAUGAAAUCUAUUACUUCCCUCACUCCUCUCUCCCUCGCUUUCUUCCUCUCUCUCUUCCGUCCCUUCCCUCGUUAUUGCCAAACUUAAAAGCACAAACUUAAAAAGCACAAAAUACACAAAGUUUUCCCUUCCCUUCCCCUUCCUCUUCUCGUUCCUGCCUCCUCUCCCCCUUAGUGUCCGGGAGAGGAGGGAGGGAGAGAGGAAGGGCGGGAGAGAGGUGGGGGCGGGCAGGGCAGCGGCGGGGGACGCGAGCAGCAAUAUCAACAAUAACGCCAACGAGGACAAGUCUAGCACGGUGGCAACUGAGGCUCCGCUCCCGCCGCCCCGACACCGACAGGGGGAGAGAGAACAUUUCCAUUUGCGAGACAUGAAUGUGUGUGUGUGUGUGUGUGUGUGUGUGUGUGUGUGGUGAGGUGGUAAGGAUGCAGGGCUGUGGCGGCGGCGGCUGUAGUGAUGGUCGUCAUGGUGGUGGCAGCGGCGGGGAGACAGGGAUACAGGUGCGGUACGGGGGAGUCAAAAGCACAAUAAACAGUCUAACGCAGGUUCAUUACCCCAUAACGUACAGUGGUCUUUUGUUUGCCGGCAGCAGCAGUAGUAGCAGCAGCAGUGGUCACCUUUAUAGCGCAACUGCCGCCGUCUCUCACUCCCCCAACACUCGGCCCUUAAAAAAAAAAAAAAAAGGAAAAAAAAUAGAAAAAAAAAGCCAGGAACGCGAUCACCUGCAUAGAUUCAGGCCUGCAUUUCCUGAUUCAUCAAUAUUCAUAUGCAAGAUAGAUAUUUUUUUACGCCCAGUCAAAUGCCAUAAAACUAGUAAUUAAUCCAGCACGACAUUAAUUCAAAUGGAAAACCAAUACAUAUAUCGAAAAGUUCAAAUGUCACUCCCGUCGCGGCACAAAUCCUUCCUGGCCGCUACGGAGGUCACUCAGCGCGCAUUGUGUAUGUAAAUUGUAUUCGCGUCCGCCUCUUGACGCGUACACAUGCAUGCCUACAUACAUACAGGUGCACAUAAACGUACAUACAAACAUUUCCCGCCCACGCAUUCCCCAAAAAGAACCGCGAUACACGUUUGAAAUCAACACCAGAUUUUUUUGUUUCUCUCAUUUUUUUUUUUCCUCCCUCCAUUUUUUUCGACCCGCGGCAUAUGAUAGUCCCCCCAAAAAACGCACAAUUUUCCCGGUGGUGUUCGCGUUAAUGAGGCGGAGAGAUAUGCGGCACAAACGACUUAUGUUUUAUUUACGAGCGUUACUCUGUGUUGCUGCUGUUUGGUUAGUGAUUGCUGUGGUUUGAUGCACGUGUUGUGGAUUCCAAUAUUGAAAAAAGAAAAAAAAAACAAGAUAUCUCUCUGUAUGUUAUCGAGCUAAGUGCGUUUUCUUUGUCAUUACCUUCAUUUGUCGUGUGCGUAUUCGAAGUCUAGCCUCUCCUUUUCCUUUUCCUACUCUUCUUUCUUCUUUUUCUUCUCCUCCUCUACUUUUUAACGUGUCAACUUUUUCCCUUUCUAAAACCUUCCAUAAACGCUGUUUUCCCUUGUCUCUUGUCACCUCCUCCUCCUCCUCUUCCUCCUCCUCUUCCUCCUCCUCCUCCUCCUCCUCGUCGUCCUCUUCCAUCACAAUCUUCCCUCACCGCGGAAUAAUCCAGUUAAGAGGCGCAAGAUUCACCUCCGGCCAUUUCGUUAAACUUUCCUUCUUCCUCCCUUCCCUCAUCUCAGCAGCUCUCUCUCUCUCUCUCUCUCUCUCUCUCUCUCUCUCUCUCUCUCUCUCUCUCUCUCUCUCUCUCUCCGUCAUUCCAACCCGCAGCACACUUCAUUAAGUCCUCACACCUCGAGAAGAAAUGUUGAAUCUGUUUUACGUCUUUGCUGGAUUAUUUUCUGCUCCUUCUCCUUAAAAUUCUCAGUUAAUGCAUAGUUCUCUUUCUCUCUCUCUCUCUCUCUCCCUCUCUCAUUGAGGAAAUAUCGGAGAGGCGCUGUGAUUCUAGACGUGAUUAAAGACCUUUUAGUGCGGAUUACUCGUUAAAACAUGGGCGUGAGUAAACUUAAAAGCUAGAACGGAGAAAACGGGAGAGCCGAGGAAGGGGAGAGAGUGAGGCGGCACAAACGCGGAGCUUAAAAGGAAGUGACAUCAUAAAGGUUAACAAAUGUGAUGUAUUUUUCCGCUACCUCCGCUACAAGAGACCCGGGCACGAAAUUCUGUAUUAGAUGCGUAUGAAAUAUUUUCUUUCAUUCUGCUCCCAGCGAUCGUGUUAAUGAGUGGAGUGAAAUCAGAAGGCAUAUGUAUUGUUAGUGAUUGCCUGGUUCUCCAAGCUUCAAAGUAGCGGCGUAUUCUUUGCGAAGGCGUUUGAUUGCUUCGGAACGGUUCAAAUUGGUGUAGGUGAUUUUACAAAGCGCACUUACUCCUAAUCAAUUAUUCUCAAGCGUUUCGGCGUCCUUUCACAAUUAUCAAUAAGCUGUGGUGAAAGUUAUUAGUAUUUUCAAGCGUGUUUUCGUGACGGCAACAACAGUUUGACGAGAAUUCAGCACUACCGAUAGGAAGACAUACGUGAUACCCUACCGGAUCAUCUCCGUGGCCUUUGUGUCCUGCUGAGAGAACAAAGCGUUUUAAUCCCGGCCUUGUACUGUCGAGAGCGGCAGAGAGGAGCAGUUCAUGCCCCUCAAAUACACCGCAGCUCAUAUACAACUCCGGUAUAUGUCAUCUGGACCCUCACCACCAGAACCACCACCACCACCACCACUACUAGCGCCACAGCCGCCACCGCCGCCACGCCACGCCACCUUCCCACCGAGGCACGGAAGACCAGCAAGCGUCCCUGCGUGAUGCCGACCCUUCCAAUCAACCAUAGAGUAAUAAGGCUUCCUGUCGCAGUAGUAACGUCGUCAAUAUGUAGUUGUUGUUAAAUGUAAGUGCGUAGUAAGUUAGAGAAAUACGUUAUUUACUACAGGGCGGAGGGAUGGACUGUUUUAAAGGGCGCGUGGUGUUUCGUAGUACAGACGUAGUACUCAUUUACGAUUUCUUGCGCCAGGCGAAGUAGUUUUCUCGCUAGACAUGGCACGUUUGUUUGGAUUUGAUGAAAGAGUUUUUUGCUGUCCGUGGCAGUGUUUGGGAUGCUUCUCCGCGAGCCACUGAGUUGAUGGGAGGAUGAAGCAAAGGUGUGCGGAACAGUACAUACUGCCCUGUAAAGUAGUGACAAUUCCGCGCGUUUAUAGAAUACAAUAAUGCGCAGCGAAACAAUACAGACAUGUGCAUUUCAGCAGGUGACAUGACAGCGUUCCGUGCACACUACGCAAUGAAGUAACAACAUUCUGCGCAUUAGUAGAAAAAAGGUAAUGCGCAAUAAAGUAAAGCUCUGCGCAUUUCAGUAAUAGGUAGUGGUGCGCAUCUAGUAGUGUUGCUUAAGGAGUGCGCAAUAGACAAUCUACUCAUUUAUAGGAUACAUUAAUGCGCAGAGGCAAUAAGGAUCUGCACAUCAUAGUAAUUGAAAGAAUGCGCAACAAACAAAGUUCCGAAUAAACUGCGCAGCGAAGUAGCGACAUUCUGCGCUUUGACAGAGUACAGUGAUGCGCAAUGAAUUUUUUUAUUUAUUUAUUUAUUUAUUUUUUUUCCCAUUAGAGUAACGGAGGAGUGCAUGGUAAUUAGCGUUCUGCACACAUACAAACAGUAUCUCGAUGUGCUGAGGCGCGGUUAAAUCUUGUUAUGGACGCCGGGAAUGCUACGUUUGUGUGUGAACGGGUUUGUGAACUCCGGACAAGACCUGCUCAUUGGCGGGCUUCUCGAACCACCAACGCCUCGUGAAUCAAAGCGCAGGGCGGGUGGGCGUCCCUCAUUGUGUGUGUGUGUGCGUGUGUGUGAGUGUGUGUGUGUAUUGUAGUGUCGUGAUUUGGAGUGCUGCCAGCUGUUCGUGUUCAUCUUUUUGUUGGUGGUCGUGGUGUUAUGCCUUUCGUUCCGUUCAAUUUUUCUCCAUCGUGUUAAUUUUCACUUUUCUCAUUUUGUUUUUCAUGCGGUUGAUUACUUCUGUUUUUGUCUUAAUUCCAUUCCCUUUGCAUUAUACACUUUCUAAUAUCUCAUUUUCCAAGUUCAGUUACGCCCGCGUUGAUGAAUAACACUGAGCCCAACACUGAUCAUCCCACUGCUUCGUUCACUUAAGGUGUUACUGUUAUCGUUACCACUAUUAUUAUUUCCGUCACGCCUUUUCGAUUACGUUACUUGUUUUCUGUGUCAUAUCAACUCCUUCUGAAUACUACGGUAGCUUAAUCUUCUGUUCCUUUCCAAGCCUGCAGCUGGUAUGCAUUCAUGUUCGCUGAGUCACCGUCAAAGGUGUUCAAUGUUUCUCCACGUCGCUGCUUCAUACUCCCUCUCGUUCACGUGUCCGAAACGUCUCUGUGUUGGUGUUUCACUCCUCAACUUUCCAUUCCUACCUAUGUUCACCUCUCGUGUUUGCUCCACUUCGCUGUUUCUUGAAGUUAUAAAGUAUUAAUCAUAAGUACGAACAGUAUAAUAGGUAAGGUUUAGUAAUACUAUGUACAUGCUUCCUUCUCUGUGUUCCGUGCUUCGUGUGGGCAGUGAGCAGCUCGACUCCUGGUGGUGCGGGUGACAAUGCACAACGACCGCCCCUCCACACUUCAACACACGCUUCAACACACGAAUGGCAUCACAACACAAACAUCACAACAUAAAAAAAAGAUGAGCUACAAGAAACCAGCUUAUCUACACGUGGGAUUCUCUACAUAAAACAUGCAUGCUUUACCUGUAUCUGCCUAUCAUUCCUAUCCAUAAAUGCAUAAAUUCAUCUAAUCUUGAAGUUCCCUAUUGAUUCUGCACCAACAACCCGUCAUCUACCGCUGUAAUUUGAACAUAAUUUUCCUAUUGUCUCUCUCUCUCUUUUUAUCAAUUUAACUUUACUAAGCUUCAAGUCGAUUAAUUAACGCUAAGGAAUUUGUUACAUCCCACUUAUAUACCUCUGUCAGAUCCUCUCAAUCUACUCCUGUCUGACAAAUGCAAAUUUAAAAGUAUCACUCUCUCUUAUAUCUCAUGAGAAGCAAAAAUUAGUCACUCAUCGGAACCUUUAAAACUGAAACAACAUCUUGUCACAUCGCCAUGCCACUCAUUUCCUUUCCACACACACACACACACACACACCGCACCCACCUCACUGCGCCGCCACCGCCACACGUAUGUACGUACGCCACCAGCACGGUCGUGACACCUGGAUCUAGCAGCACCCUUGUUUCUCUCCUCAUCGAGCACCUCUUUGCCUUCAUCACGCCUGUAGGGCAAUAAGCCGUAGAUCGUCCCUCCCACCCUCUGGAUAAUAGGUACCCUCGACAUUCCCCUGUUUUACGUAUAUACACACACACACAUAAUUAUGUAUACUCGUCAGGACACUGCUCUCAGUUAACACUUCAUACACAUACCUUGAUAUAUAUAAACGUUUUCUUAUUAAGGGAAUCCAGUACUGCUUAUUUCCGGACACACACACACACACACACACACACACAUACAUCAGUACAUCAGUCACUAUUUACCUUAAUUAUAAAAUAAAGACAUGCAUAAUAAUAAGAACACAUUCCCUUUUUAGCUUCCUAGAACAACACAUGCAUAAUACAUGUAUUAGGCGAUUAAUUGAUUAAUUAAUUCAUUUUAUCAAUUUAUUUGUGCUCCAUAUAACAAAAUACUAAUGACAGCAUAUUUGUUUUAUUAAAUGACACACAUACACACACACACACACACACACACACACACACACACACACACA